ensembl:snRNA U6 U6 spliceosomal RNA
AUUUUCUCUGCUGACUCCAACAAUACAGACUAAAAUUAGAACAAUACAGAGAAAAAUUCAAGCAUCAGCCCUGAACAAAGGCUGACACACAAACCUGUGAAGUGUUCUAUAUUAAA